GUGCUGCUGGAGGUGACCUUGGUGCCCAGACCUUAGUGUGAGGCCGCUAGAGCCAGCAAGGACGCCCUUCUCACCUUGAAUAUCCGUGUCAGGAGCACAGUGUGGGAGAAGGAGGCAGGCUGUGGCGUGGCAAGAAACUGCCCUCUCCAAGGUGACCCACCACCUGCAGCUGCCCAGCGCAAGAGUCUAGAAACCGAGGCUGGAGCCCUUGAGGCUUGAGGUAAAUGACAGUGCCCUUCUGCAACCCACUCCCCUGGAUAAUGGAGGCUGACACCACCGGACUCCAGGAGCUCAGCAGAGCUGUGCCUGACCUCUUGCAACUUGCUUCCAGGGAAACCCAGCUGUACGCCGUCAGCCCAUUUUAUGGUAGAGAAAAAACAGCCAGACAGCUCUGGAAGUUGCCCCACGGUUAGCUAGCGGACAGUUAGGCUGGAUUAAGAUCUUGUCUGUCUGUCUGUUCCUCAGGAACUCUGGGAUCUCAGUGCUCCGAGCUAUGAUGUCCAGAUGAUCCCUCAGGCCACUGGGCCACAGCCACAGUGUCCCCAAGGCCUGAGGAUUACCAUUUCUCACACUCUAGGGGGACAGGUAAGCUUUGUCUAUGGUGACAAAAGCCAAGAGCAGGGGACAGAGGAACCUUCACCUAGCAGCACGGGGCUUCCCUCAUGACCCAGGAUUAGGCAGAAGAUGCUAUGUGGGGACUAGUCUGAGAAAGAUGCAGGUUUGCAUCCCCCAGGCUCUGGAGGCCAGUUUACCAGGGGAGGGGAAAUCAUGGGAGCUCAAGGCUUCCACACAGGUCUGGGUGGCCAAAGCAACAGAACAUGGAGGUCAUGUGUCUAGGGAAAGGGUUAGACAGAGGUGACAAUCUAGCAAUAGAGGAUUGGGACCAGGGAAGAGCCAAGAAUGGAAGUCAGCGAUCCUGUCGGCCCGUGCCAGCCCAAUUGCCCUCCCAGACACAGAAUUCACUACAUAAACCCGGUUAGGGCUCCCAGCCCUGCAGGGGUACAGUGAGUCUCCUGGAAUCCCGAAGACAGCUUCCAGGCUUCCUUUCAUCCUGUCUCCUGAAGCCUGCAUGUCUGAUAUGGAGGGCUCUGGAACCACCUGGGGCCUAGGGCCUGGGCUAUGUAUUGAAGGUUAUCUUCUAGUCUUCUGGGAGAAUAAUACCAGAGAUUGUACAACCUCCAUCCAGGGAGCUGAGGUGUAUUCAUUCCUCUCAAGGCUCAGCUGGACCAGAGUUCCCAUCAGCUUUGAGCCUAGACUCUCUGCAGGUGCUUUCUGGGGACCAAGCACAGCACUGCUCAUUCCCAUGUCCCUCAGCCAAGAGUAAGCAGGCACCUCCAAACAGGGGCUUCCACAGCAGCUGCUCUGAGGUCUGAGCAGGCAGCACAGCCACAGGUUCCCAGCUUCCCCAGGCUGAGGUCUUCGGAUCCUAGAACAGCCCAAAUCUCCUAGCUUCCCAGCCUCUGCCUCCCCCAUCUUCCUGGGCCUUUCAAGCCCUCUCUCCUGACCCAGCCCCUUCUGUGGUACCACCUAUUCUCUUCCCUCAGAACCCUUCCCCGGGGUUACCUCGGACACACACUACCUGAAGUCAGGGCUACUUCAAGCAGCUUAGUUGUCCCUACACCCCAGCCAGUGGCUGUGCCUUAUCGAAAUAAAAAUGCAUGUAUACAAGUGCACACACACACACACACACACACACACACACA
rnacentral:lncRNA from 1 species